UGCACCGCAACUGUGAGAGACGCCCUAAGGGUUUUAUUGCCAUUUGACUAAAUUGCAGUAGCAAAUGUGGAUCUUGAUUCUAAUGGUGGUAGAAGCCAAAUCGAGGAUGAUGGGACUGUUGUCCAAAAAAAUGGGAAACGGACCAAAGUUGUGUUGGAGAACAAAAUGAAGAGCUCAGCUGGAGUCCCCAUUUAUCUUGUAGGAGUGCGUUUUUUUGAGGAUGAGCAACUGGAUGAAAUACCAGUUGAGAAACCUGUUUCAGAUAUCCAAACUGGUGGAAGAGGUAGUGGGGUAAAAGUAAAGGCUGUGAGGAUCACGAAGUGGGCUUGUAAGUCCGAGGAACAGAUAAAUAUGCCAUGUUGUGCGUUGCUCUCCAGAGCAGGGCACCUGUAAAGGGGGUAAUAUCUGGCGUCUUGUGGGACGUCAAUGUUGAACAAAUUAAGAAUAUCCUUGGAGUGGUUGAUGUACGUCGGAUGAAUUGUGUGGUGAUUGGAGUAAAAGUAAAGAGUGUCUGUUCUGUUUUUGAUAUGGAAUCCCUCCCUGCCUGGGUGAAGUUAGGGUAUGUGAAUCAUCAUGUCCGAGCGUUCGUCCCAAGAUAGAUGCAGUGUGACCUUAGUAUGGCUUUUGGACAUGUCAAGUGUCUGUAGUACAGAGAAGCGAAGAUGUGGAAGUUGUGGAAAAGAAGAUCAUGUUGAAAGAGGAAGAUCAUGUUGAAAUGUUGCAAUUGUGGUGGGAACCAAGAAGCUACAUCUUUGAAAUGCCCGAAGAGGGCGAAAGAGAAUGAGGUUGCCCGAGUCAGGGCAGUCCAGAGAAUGUAGAGGCUGGCAAAAGGGUUAAGGGAACGAAUGGUCCUCCUGAAGACUCCAUGGUGUUGGAUAGGCUGCAGAGUUGGCCUCUCAUCAGCAGGAUCCAGAUAUGUUGCAUGUUAAGUAGGUGGACUUUGUGGCUUUUAUGGAAAUGGCAGUGCCUCCCUCUCAGGCCCUGGGGCGUUAUGGAAUUUUAAAUGAAGGAAGAAGUGGGAACUCUUUUUUUUAUUUUAUGAAGUUUCCUUUUUUCACCCUCGUCCAGUUGGUGGCGGUAAUGCACCGUAAACAUUGGAUGCCAACCGCAGAUAAACCCCAACAAAGAAGCGUCCCUGUGUCGCACAGUUGCCACAGCCGCAAAGUCAUACACCCUGCCUAUUGCUACAAUUUCUCUUUUUUAAAUGGGAUUUUAAUCCUAACUAUAAUUAACCCUAACCACACUCCUAACUGUAUCCCUAACCUUGAAUAUAGACGUUGUGUCUGUGCUAUCUAAACCGAGGUUUGAAGCGAUACGGGCCUUUCGAAGCUCAAAACAAGGGUUUUGAAACUAUUGAUUUUGCAGGUAGAUUCUUGAAAUAUCAACUGUUAUUUGUCUCGAUGGCUUUGGAGACUUGUCCCAAGGACCUCCACAAUUUGCGGGCAUUCUGUGUUCUCUUGUGAAGACUAUUGACCAGUUUGAAUAUGAUGGCUGUGACAACGGAGUCAUACCUUCAGAUGAAGGGGAAUCGAGAGAUGGUAUAUGAGUGUACAAGUUCCUCGUUUGAUGGCCCAGAUGAGUCCAGAGGACAGCUGGGUGGCCAAGUGGCAGAGAAUCAGUAACUGCAAACCAGGUGUCUAUGCUGUGACGGUGACAGGGCGGUUACCUCCAGAAAAUCUGAAAAAAAGUGGUGGAACCCAAAACCUGAAAAAACAACCAAGAACUUUAUUAUGGCUGGUAAGGAUUGUUUUGUAGAUUUAUUCACCUGCCACAGUGGCUGGUGGACCAAAAACUUAGUUUUUAGGCCCUGUUCAUAAACUGGGUCAUUCCAAAACCACUUGCAGGCAUUUGUUUACACUUUGUUCAGUCAUGCUAGCUAGGUAUAGCUAGUUACUUUACCAGUAUAGCUGGUUACUUUAUUUAAAAAAAAAUUGGGCACAGAAACAAAUGGAAAGGGGUAGCUUCUUUAGAAGAUCAGAGAGUAAAUGACUGAUCUCUUGUUAUAUCUCAACUGAUUACAUUUUUGGGGGGGCUUUGAUGUGCUAAAUGUAAUGUUGAGCUCUUUGUGUUUUUGUGCAUAAACGUUAACAAGAGUUCUGUCCGUAGUACUUUUCCCUCCGUGUAGUUCAUUGCACCAAAAGGAGAACACAGAUGUGGUUUAUUUCUGUGCGUGUUAAAAAAGUAAAAUAAGUAGCAUAUCUGGACAUGAUUUACAGUAGAUAUAUCUGUCAACACAGUCAUACACAUGAUGUAUAAUCCUGUAAUAUGAUUCUGGCCCACAAUGGCAAAAAUAUAUUCUAAUGUGGCCCUCCAUUGAAAAUAAUUGCCCAGACCUGCCCCUAGACCAACUUCAAUUUGCUUACCACCCCAAUAGAUCCACAGACGAUGCAAUCGCCAUCACACUGCCUUACCCCAUCUAGACAAGAGGAAUACAUAUGGAAGAAUG